rnacentral:rRNA from 1 species
UACGUAGGUCCCGAGCGUUGUCCGGAUUUAUUGGGCGUAAAGCGAGCGCAGGCGGUUAGAUAAGUCUGAAGUUAAAGGCUGUGGCUUAACCAUAGUACGCUUUGGAAACUGUUUAACUUGAGUGCAAGAGGGGAGAGUGGAAUUCCAUGUGUAGCGGUGAAAUGCGUAGAUAUAUGGAGGAACACCGAUGGCGAAGGCAGCUCUCUGGCUUGUAACUGACGCUGAGGCUCGAAAGCGUGGGGAGCAAACAGG